CCUCCACCUACAUCCACACCUCCACCUACAUCCACCUCUCAUCUUCUUUCUGUGUUGUCAUGUGUUGGAUCAGUCUGUGUUGUGGUUCUACUGGUGUUACUGGUUCUGCUGGUGAGACGAUGUGUUCACAGGAAACCUGAAGUUGAUCAGGAUGAACCUGCAGAAGAUGACAUCAUGUAUAGUGACAUCAAAACAUCAAAUUGUCAACAACAACCAGUGAAACAAAUCCAAGCGACUGACACAGUUGUAGUCUACUCAGCCUUGAGAACUAACGGCAUAACUUAUGGACAAAUAGACGUCACAGCAAAGAGGAAAGGAGACUUUAAAACUGAGCAAGAAGUCGUCUACUCUUCCCAGAAGUAGUCCACCAGUCCAACCACUGACGUCCAGCUGCUGGUCUCUAACUGGUCCCUCCAGCACCUCAGACCAGAGGACAUCCAUGUAUUAAAAAUAUUUGUAUAUGUUUUAUGUCAUUUUGUUACUUAUUUAGUUAUUGAACAUUUAAUGUUUUAACUAUUAAUAUGUUUUGUGUUCUCAGUAACUUAACUAUUGUAUAAAUGUUAUUUAAGCUUGUUGGCUUUUCCUCCCAUUGUAGUGAUCUGGUUUCAGUCAAAUUAUUAAACUUUUGUUUUCCUUGUGUGGUUCUGUGGGUUUCACCAAGGCGCAGAUGGAAAAUUUGACUUCUUCCGCUUUGGUUGUGGCUAACCAAAACACAUCAAAUUUUACUGCAGAAAACAAAGAAUAAGUA